rnacentral:rRNA from 1 species
CCCUUAGAUGUUCUGGGCUGCACGCGUGUUACAAUCGGGAGUCCAACAAGAUUGCAAAUCCUAGUGGAUGAGUGGUUCUUCGAAAUUUUCUGAAGACUGGGAUAGUUGAUUGAAAUUAUUCAACUCAAACGAGGAAUUCCUUGUAAUUAUAAUUCAUUAUAUUGUAAUGAAUACGUCCCUGCCCUUUGUACACACCGCCCGUCGCUCCUACCGAUUUCGAGUGAUCCGGUGAACCUUCUGGACUGCGGUAGCAUCAAGCUAUUGCGGGAAGUUAAGUAAACCACUUCACUUAGAGGAAGGAGAAGUCGUAACA